ensembl:lncRNA
GGCUUACAGGAUCUCAGGUCCCCAACCAGGGAUUGAACCUGUGUUAUAGCAGUGAAAGCACGGAAUCCUGGCCACUAGGCUACCAAGGAACAGCCCUGAAGAACUUUCUUUGACCUUGAUCUUCUUGGGGCUCAUCAGGAAGAGCUCCAUCCGCAGAGCUGUCAGAAACAGAAGGAGCUGCCUGGGGAGGUAGGAAGUUCCCUGUCGCUGGAGGUGUUUGAGCAGAUGCUGGAGAACUGCUUGGCAAUGACUUCUAAGGUCUCCCCAGCCCCAGGAGUCUCUGAAAAUUUCCAUGAUGACUACUGCUGCUGCAGUGACUUGUUUGAAAGGAGACAAAAAGAAGGUGGAAUCUGCACGUGAUGGUGACCCAGCUUCCAUCAUGCAGAUGAUCUUGAGGACUGGGAGGUCAGCAGAGCAGAAACUGGAAGGAACCUGAGUUUCUGAAUAACCAUGAGGAGCAAAGCUUCCAUUCACCUGGAUUGUUCAUCUCACAACUGCUACAUGAAUAGAAAUAAAUAUAUUCUUUAAGCCACUGCAUUUUGGGAUCUAUAUUAGCCUACUCUACCAAAUACAAUGAGUUUAUAGGAGUUAGCCAUGUGGAAAAAUGGAGAGAGACAGAUUUCAAAGCACCCAGUCAAGAGAGAGCAUUGCACUUCAAGAUGCAUGAAGCAGUGGCUGUGAAAGGGCUUCAUAUAAUAAUAUGAUAUCUCAGACAUUUAUUUCUCACAGUUCUGGAGGCAGGGAAGUCUAAGAUCAAGGGGCCUGUAGAUUCAGUGCCUGGUGAGAGCUAUCCCUGGCUUGCAGAAGGUUGCCUUCUCGUGUUUUCACAUGGUGUGGAGAGGG